CCUGGCUCAGAACGAACGCUGGCGGCGCGUUUUAAGCAUGCAAGUCGAACGGUAACCAUCCUUCGGGAUGGCUAGAGUGGCGAACGGGUGAGUAACACGUAGGUGAUCUGCCCUUGAGUUGGGGAUAGCCCAUGGAAACAUGGGGUAAUACCGAAUACGCUCGCGACCCUGUGGGGAUGUGAGGAAAAGCGCUUCGGCGCUGCUCGAGGAUGAGCCUGCGGCUGAUUAGUUAGUUGGUGGGGUAACGGCCUACCAAGGCGACGAUCAGUAGCCGGCCUGAGAGGGUGAGCGGCCACACUGGGACUGAGAUACGGCCCAGACUCCUACGGGAGGCAGCAGCUAAGAAUCUUCUACAAUGGACGAAAGUCUGAUAGAGCGACGCCGCGUGGGUGAUGAAGGCCGGAAGGUUGUAAAGCCCUUUUCUAUUCGAGGAAUAAGGUGUGGAGGCAAUGCCACACUGAUGACGGUAGGGUAGGAAUAAGCCCCGGCCAAUUACGUGCCAGCAGCCGCGGUAACACGUAUGGGGCGAGCGUUGUUCGGAAUCAUUGGGCGUAAAGGGCGCGUAGGCGGAUAUGCAAGCUUGGUGUGAAAGACCGCAGCUCAACUGCGGGAGCGCGCUGAGAACUGCAUAUCUUGAGUUCAAGAGGGGAAGCUGGAAUUCCAGGUGUAGGGGUGAAAUCUGUAGAUAUCUGGAAGAACAUCAGUGGCGAAGGCGAGCUUCUGGCUUUGAACUGACGCUGAGGCGCGAAAGCGUGGGGAGCGAACAGGAUUAGAUACCCUGGUAGUCCACGCUGUAAACGAUGUGCACUACGUGUUGGGCCAUUGAAGGCUCAGUGCCGUAGCUAACGCGUUAAGUGCACCGCCUGGGGAGUAUGCUCGCA
rnacentral:rRNA from 1 species